UACGUAGGCAGCAAGCGUUGUUCGGAAUUACUGGGCGUAAAGAGUGUGUAGGUGGUGUCGUAAGUUUGGUGUGAAAUCUCCCGGCUUAACUGGGAGGGUGCGCCGAAGACUGCGAUGCUGGAGUAUGGGAGAGGAAAGCGGAAUUCCCAGUGUAGCGGUGAAAUGCGUAGAUAUUGGGAGGAACACCAGUGGCGAAGGCGGCUCACUGGACCGGUACUGACGCUGAGGCGCGAAAGCGUGGGGAGCAAACGGGG
rnacentral:rRNA from 1 species